GUAAUCCUAUCUAUCCAGUGGGUUACUGUGAUGAUUAAGUUGAAUAAUACACUUGGAAACUGGCUCCAUUUCCUUCACCUGCCUUUGUCCCUGGAAAAAGCCAGAGAUUCAUAUUGACUUAUGCUUCCCACCCUCAGCAACCAAGACUUCUCUCUUUGGGUGUUAGCAAGGGGAACUGGGCUUGAUAUAAGAGCUCUGUUGAACCCACUUGAUCAACAUAUUCAGAACAAGAAGCCCCAGAGUCACACUUCAGAUGCGCGUCCUCUGACGAAGACGGAAGGCAGCCUGUCCGCGUGUCUGAGUGUGUCACGGCCAUUCUGGCUCUGCCCACCAGUCCAUGAGCUCCUCUCCGGAGGCAGUGUAUUUCUCCGUUCUCCUCCAGCCCAACUUGUCAGCAGCCCCCUUGGGCGGCAAACGUAAAGGUUGUUUGGCUUCAAAGGUCAGCUCGGUACCCGUUCUUUGCCUCUGCUGCCAGAGUCCUACGAAAGCCGCGGGAGUGCAAGCCAUCCUGGAGGCAGGCCACCCCCGCUCCCACCCCCGUUCUCACUCCUUCACCAGCGCCCCCCUCGCCUGAACAGUGUCUUCAGCCAAGGAAGGACAGACGCUCACAGGCUGUGUUCCCACCGCCUUCCUCGCGCAGAAAAGCUUAAGCGCCAAAGCUCAGCACACACAGUUGUUCAAGUCACACAGCAGAAGCCACCAAGGGGGUCAGAUAGAAGGAGCCCUGGGGCUGGGGGGAUGACCCUUUGGUGUCCGUGGGCCUCUGUGCUCAAGAGGCUUGACAGUGCAGCGAAUAUAGCCUGGUUCAAAGUCAGGGAGGCUGUUUGGCUACAUUCUCAGGCAGUCAUUUCUAUUAAUGAGGCACCUGUCCUAAAAAUGCAGCUCUCAAAUCAGGGUCCAGGGCCUUUGGCACCCUGGCAGAUUCUUCCAGAUGGUCAGCAGGCUGUCGCAUCCAAUAUUAAUGCUUAAACUAUGACAGCAUCAACACCUCUGCUUCCAGCAUGACAAAACCACGUCCUUUCCUUGUGACAUCUCUAAGAACCAUGGACUGUCACCACUCAGGAACUUGGAGAGUUCCAACCUAUCCUCACUUCAUAGAUGAAAAGCCUGAGACCAGGAGCCAGGAAAAGCCACGCCGUAGCCCUUAAGAUUAAUGCC
ensembl:lncRNA